AAUAGAUACCCGGGUAGUCCACGCCGUAAACGAUGGAUACUAGCUGUUUGAGCGCAAGUUUGAGUGGCUAAGCGAAAGUGAUAAGUAUCCCACCUGGGGAGUACGGGCGCAAGCCUGAAACUCAAAGGAAUUGACGGGGGCCCGCACAAGCGGUGGAGCAUGUGGUUUAAUUCGAUGAUACGCGAGGAACCUUACCAGGGCUUAAAUGUAGAUUGACGUAUUUGGAAACAGAUAUUUCUUCGGACAAUUUACAAGGUGCUGCAUGGUUGUCGUCAGCUCGUGCCGUGAGGUGUCAGGUUAAGUCCUAUAACGGGCGCAACCCCUGUUGUUAGUUGCCAGCGAGUAAUGUCGGGAACUCUAGCAAGACUGCCAGUGUAAACUGUGAGGAAGGUGGGGAUGACGUCAAAUCAUCACGGCCCUUACGUCCUGGGCCACACACGUGCUACAAUGGCCGGUACAGAGAGCAGCCACUUAGCGAUAAGGAGCGAAUCUAUAAAGCCGGUCACAGUUCGGAUCGGAGUCUGC
rnacentral:rRNA from 1 species